GCACAGAAUAGCUCAGUUGGUUAGAGCAUGGUGCUGAUAAUGCCAAGGUUGCAGGUUCGAUCCCCGUAUGGGGCAGCUGCA